rnacentral:lncRNA from 1 species
CCUAGAGCAAGAGGAGAAGCUCUCCAGAUUUGCUGACCUAGAAGGAUAAGACUGAAAGUAGGAGGGUGGGGAGAGCCAGAUGAACAAGGGAGGUGAAAAUGUGAUCUAGGGAGGCAUCCGAGUGAGCAAAGGCACAAGUGAGCCUGGUACACUUCUGGGCAGGCAGAAGGAAGGCAGUUAGGCUGUUAGGAAGGCAGUUAGGCUGCAGUGAAUUCUACAAAGAGGCUAUGGGAAAGAAACCUGGAAAGGUAGGGAGGUAUGGAUAUGGACAAGCUAUGCCAAGGAGCUGGGCUUUGUCAUGGAGAGUGACUAGGUGCUUUUACAUAGGAAAGUCACCUGAUAAUAUUAAAACCUGUGAAAUAUCACUCUGGUGGAAGUGUGAAUGAAUUUGAAAGGGGUGUAACACUGUUCUACUUUGUUUACUCCUCAGUAGCCUUGGCUGUGUACAUUUGAGUAAAGAGAGCACUAUAAAAUCAAAAACCAGUGAAAUGGUUUCCAGAACACAGAACUAUUAAGCUUAAGAAAAGGACAGAAGGAACUGAAGAGAGAGGAACUGUUUUGGAGCAUCACACUUCCACCUCAGAAGAAAUAAGGAAGGAAGGAGGAGGGUGUUCCCACGGCUCUUCAACCAGGCCGGCUCUUCAGCCUACAUCCCCAUCUCAUCAAGUAAAAGGGAUUUUUCAACUGGACCAACCAGAUGGUUUAACAGUGCACUCCCACACCAUUCAACUACGCAAGGGAGAUACACUUAACAUAUGCAGUCGUAUAACACCUACUAACAUUUUCAAACAUUAAACCUUUAAAAAAGAGUUCUAAAGAAAUAGAAGCUUGAAGUAUCAUCUCUCAAGUAUAUAGACACUACUUCAUGGUGUGGUAAUAUAUGCAUAUAGAAGCUAGUAAACACCUCCAGGAGAUGCAAAAGGAAUUAGAACUGCCACAAGGUGCAAGCAAAACCUUGAGUCUCCAUUGAUGGUGAAGUAUUUUCACUAUUUGGC